CGUUACGAACGUGACUCAAUACAUUAAAUAGAUUCCUAUCAGAUAAGUAAACUGUUGACGCUUGCUUGUGGCUUGCUCUCGGGUAGGUCAUUGAGUAAGUGGAGGUUUACCUGAUAGUUUGUCAACUGUCAAAGGUUGGCUUUGAUCUGCUUAAUGAGACAAAUUGUGUUUAGCAAAAUGAGAUUGAGCAAUAACAGGUCCGUGAUGCCCUUAGAUGUCCUGGGUUGCACGCGCGCUACAAUGAGACCAUCAACGUGAUACCUGAUCUGAAAGGAUUGGGAAAUCACUUAAAUGUGCUCUUAGUUGGGAUUGUGGAUUGUAAUUAUUCACAUGAACCUGGAAUUCCCAGUAAAUGCUAGUCAUCAGCUAGCGUUGACUAAGUCCCUGCCCUUUGUACACACCGCCCGUCGCUAUUACCGAUUGGUUAUUUAGUGAGGUCUCCGGAGGUAAUCGCCGAAGAUGCUUAGGUAUCAUUAGGUUGUUUUGCCAAAGUUGACCGAACUUGAUGAUUGAGAGGAAAUAAAAGUCGUAACAAGGUUUCCGUAGGUGAACCUGCGGAAGGAUCAUUA
rnacentral:rRNA from 1 species